GACGAACGCUGGCGGCGUGCUUAACACAUGCAAGUCGAACGGUAAGGCCCUUCGGGGUACACGAGUGGCGAACGGGUGAGUAACACGUGGGUGAUCUGCCCUGCACUUCGGGAUAAGCCUGGGAAACUGGGUCUAAUACCGGAUAGGACUCCGGACUGCAUGGUCUGGGGUGGAAAGCUUUUGCGGUGUGGGAUGGGCCCGCGGCCUAUCAGCGUGUUGGUGGGGUGAUGGCCUACCAAGGCGACGACGGGUAGCCGGCCUGAGUGGGUGACCGGCCACACUGGGACUGAGAUACGGCCCAGACUCCUACGGGAGGCAGCAGUGGGGAAUAUUGCACAAUGGGCGCAAGCCUGAUGCAGCGACGCCGCGUGAGGGAUGACGGCCUUCGGGUUGUAAACCUCUUUCAGCAUCGACGAAGCGAAAGUGACGGUAGGUGCAGAAGAAGGACCGGCCAACUACGUGCCAGCCGCCGCAGUAA
rnacentral:rRNA from 1 species